AACAAAUAUUUUUUAAAUGUCAUAUUUGCUUCAGAUUACUUUAAUAAAAAUUAAACAAUGCACAUAAAACUCUCUUUUCUCCGCCCCCCCCCCCCCCCCCCCCACCCCCCCAGUGACCCUCUCUCCUUCCCCUCCACCUCCUCCAGAGACUGGACUGAAGGUUGUCUGUUUCCUUCUUGCCUUCAUUUCUGAACAUUUACUCCCUCUACAGAGACCCCACCCGCCAGGCAUAGCGUCACUUGGGGUGUUCGUAAAAUAUCUGCUUUUUGCACUUGACAAUCUGAUGCAUCCCUUUCAACGCUCCACUAUACGAUGUGGGUUUUAUUAGCUCGUUAGCCGUUAACUGCUCAUUUAUUCCCCUACUGAUGGACAGUUAGAGUCAGCCGGCUUACUAUGGUUAUUCUGAUGUCUGAUACAGAGGAAAAAGGUGCCCGGGUUCCUUUGAUCACGGAAGUUGAUUUCAGAUCAGAAGGUCAACAGCAACUCGUCUAAUACCCACCCAGUCAGUACAGCCCUUGUGGAGGCUUGAAGAAUGUACGUGCGACAAAGGGGCACACAGGAGUUCGUUGUAGGAGUGAGCAGAUGGGUCGCUGGAUUUCAGAAUUUGUUUCUCACUAGGCUCCAAGGGUUUGGGGCCUGAAGAAAGAGAAUUGGCUUAUUCCAGUUCCUACCAAUCCCCCUGAGUAUUUUCUAGAGAUCCUCUUUGGUAAAGACGGGCAGAGAAAGAAGGUUCAGGAUACACACCAGAUGGGCAUUACUCACAAAAAGGGACCUGGACCACAGGGAGAGCUCUCUCCCACUUUCCUCACUGGUCCUGCUCUGUAGGCUCACCCACAGCAGGGCCCUUUGGGCAGGGAACGCUGGGCUCCUGUGUAUGCGGGGCGUGAACUUUGAGUGGGCACAUCCUCUCAGUUUGUUCAUCUGUAAAGCGGGUACAGUUUUAAUAUCUUUCUCACAAGGUGGUAGACGUGGUAAAUUAACCUAUGAGAAGUUUCUGCCGAUGCCUGGCAUGCCAUAAGUCCUCAGUAAAUAAUAGCCAUUGUCAGCAUUAUUUUUUUACGAUAAAAAAUAUAAAAAAUACACACACAAAAAUCACCCAUCAUCCCAAACCCAGAGAUAACCAUAGUUAAUAUUCUGGACAUUAUCCUUCUAAUCUUUCUUCCAAAUACACACACACACACACACAUACAUACACACACACACAAUUUGCUUAUUAAUUUCUGGUAUAUUAUAAACAUUUCCUGUGUCACCGGAUUCUUCCGAAAUGGGGUUUUCAUGGCUCUUUUAGCCAAUAUCUUAUUUUUGGAAAUUUAAUUUUGUUAAUAUUUUGCUGCUGCAAGUAAGGCUUCAGUAAUUGUUCUU
rnacentral:lncRNA from 1 species